UUGAGUGAGUGCACUAAUAUUAGUGCUAUAAUUAUUUUAUUUUGGUCACAUGAAUAAUUAUACUAUGGUACUUUAUUAAUGAGUAAUAUUUCCAUAGUUUUUGUGAUUAUUAUUUAAUCACCCUUCUCACAUGAUUUAUUUUUAAUUUCCCAAGUAUGAGACUAAUUACUAAAAUUUACUAAGUGUAGAGAUUGAGAGAGUAGAGAUUUAGAGAGUAGAGAUUAGAGAGAGUGUAGAGAUUAUGAGAGAGAGAGAUCAAGGCAAUUAAUGCCAAUAUUCACUAAGAUUGCCAAAUCUUCUAUAAGAUUAGCAAAAUCCUCUCAAAUCUUUCAAGAUAAUUCUCUCUCUCACUCCACCCCAAAUUUUCGAUCACCACCUUCUCCCUCCCUUCAUCUCUCUACUUUCCACCAUUGACAACCAUUAACAAGACCUUCGGAGCUUCACAAAAUCACACCAAAAACACAAAUCACCCUCUAAAUCUUACACUAAACACUUCCACCUCCUUGAAUCCAAGAAGAUCUUUGGAGUUUGAUCUUCAAAGUUAGAGAGAGAAAGUUUGGUUUUGGGUGUAAGUUUGGACACGAGCAGAGCAAGGAAGUAAGUAACUCCACUUUGACGGGAGUGUUUGAGUAAGGUCUUCAGGCUAAGCGAGGAGCGAGAUUGGUCUGGUGCUGGUGGGGAAUUGUUGAAGGAUGUAUUUACUUUAUCGUAUUUCUAUUUUGACGAUAAAGUCUUGAUGAUUGAUAUACUUUGAUUUUCUUUGAAUUUAAGCAAUGUACUCACGGUUAUAUGUCUUCAUACAUAUAAUCGGUUCACCUUUUGCUGCGAUACUCUGCAUAUUGUGAUUCCUUACGAAAAAUGAGCGAUACCCGUUUUGUUUUUGAUUUUGAAAUUCCUGAUAAUUAAAAAGUUAUAACGA